rnacentral:rRNA from 1 species
UACGAAGGGGGCUAGCGUUGCUCGGAAUCACUGGGCGUAAAGCGCACGUAGGCGGGUCGUUAAGUCAGGGGUGAAAUCCUGGAGCUCAACUCCAGAACUGCCCUUGAUACUGGCGAUCUCGAGUUCGGGAGAGGUGAGUGGAACUGCGAGUGUAGAGGUGAAAUUCGUAGAUAUUCGCAAGAACACCAGUGGCGAAGGCGGCAUCCUGGCCCUGUCCUGACGCUGAGGCGCGAGAGCGUGGGGAGCAAACCGG